rnacentral:rRNA from 1 species
UACGUAGGGGGCCAGCGUUGUCCGGAUUUAUUGGGCGUAAAGCGCGCGCAGGCGGUUCUGCAGGUGGCUCGUGAAAGCGCCCGGCUCAACUGGGCAGGGUCGGGCCAAACGGCAGAGCUGGAGGCUGGUAGGGGAAGCGGAAGUUCCCGGUGUCGAGUGGUGGAAGUGCGUAGAGAGUCGGGAGGAACACCAGUGGCGAAGGCGGCUCACUGGCCCGGUACUGACGCUGAGGUGCGAAAGCGUGGGGAGCAAACAGG